CUCCUCCAUGAUACCAUCAGAGAAGUGGAGGAUCCGCCGUGGCCUUUUCUGGCUUCUGCAGCGGCCGUCUUCAGCCUGCACCGGAUUCUCCUGCAGGACCAAAGAACUAGGAAUGAGGAAAGGACCUGAUGGCGGGAAUGUGUGUGUGUGUGUGUGGGGGUUUCAGAUGUUAAUUCUUUGUGAGAUAACAUCAACUGUGCAUCAAAAUAAAGGCCACAUCAGCAGAAAAAGAA